GUUUCCGUGCUGUAGUGCUUAUCACAUCCGCCUACCACGUGGAAUGCCUCCGGUUCGAUCCCGGACGGGAACA